rnacentral:ncRNA from 2 species
GCACAACACACGGGAGUCCGGUAUGCCGGGCUGAGAGGAAGCGACCCACGCUUCGACCGUCGAACCUGAUCCGGAUCAUGCCGGCGCAGGGAGGAGAAGAAAUGUCUGU